rnacentral:rRNA from 1 species
UACGGGGGGGGCAAGCGUUGUUCGGAAUUACUGGGGGUAAAGGGCGCGUAGGCGGCCUUCUAAGUCGGACGUGAAAUCCCUCGGCUUAACCGAGGAACUGCGUCCGAUACUGAAAGGCUUGAAUCCGGGAGAGGGAUGUGGAAUUCCAGGUGUAGCGGUGAAAUGCGUAGAUAUCUGGAGGAACACCGGUGGCGAAGGCGGCAUCCUGGACCGGUAUUGACGCUGAGGCGCGAAAGCUAGGGGAGCAAACGGG